rnacentral:rRNA from 1 species
CUCCUACGGGGCGCAGCAGUGAGGAAUAUUGGUCAAUGGGCGGGAGCCUGAACCAGCCAAGUCGCGUGAGGGAAGACGGUCCUACGGAUUGUAAACCUCUUUUGCCGGGGAGCAACGGGGUCCUUGCGAGGGCCCGAUGAGAGUACCCGGAGAAAAAGCAUCGGCUAACUCCGUGCCAGCAGCCGCGGUAAUACGGAGGAUGCGAGCGUUAUCCGGAUUUAUUGGGUUUAAAGGGUGCGUAGGCGGAGUGUCAAGUCAGCGGUAAAAUUUCGGGGCUCAACCCCGUCGUGCCGUUGAAACUGACG